AGACAAUAGAUACCCAGGUAGUCCACGCCGUAAACUAUGCUUGCUAGCUGUUAUCAGUAUCGACCCUGGUAGUAGCGAAGCUAACGCGUUAAGCAAGCCGCCUGUGGAGUACGAGCGCAAGCUUAAAACAUAAAGGAAUUGACGGGGACCCGCACAAGCGGUGGAGCGUGUUGUUUAAUUCGACGGUAAACGAAGAACCUUACCCAGGCUUGACAUCCUACUAAGUUUUGCGAAAAGCAAAAUGUGCCUUCGGGCCGUAGUGACAGGUGAUGCAUGGCCGUCGUCAGCUCGUGUCGUGAGAUGUUUGGUUAAGUCCAUCAACGAGCGCAACCCUUAUAGUCUGUUGAAUUUUUCAGGCUAGACUGCCCCGGUAACGGGGAGGAAGGAGGGGACGAUGUCAGGUCAUUAUUUCCCUUACGUCUGGGGCUACAAACACGCUACAAUGGCCGGUACAAAGGGCAGCCAAGGCGCGAGCCGGAGCAAAUCCCAUCAAAGCCGGUCUCAGUUCGGAUUGUAGGCUGAAACUCGCCUGCAUGAAGCUGGAA
rnacentral:rRNA from 1 species